GACGAACGCUGGCGGCGUGCCUAAUACAUGCAAGUCGAACGAGAGCGACCGGUGCUUGCACUGGUCAAUCUAGUGGCGAACGGGUGAGUAACACGUGGGUAACCUGCUCAUCAGAGGGGGGUAACAUCCGGAAACGGAUGCUAAAACCGCAUAGGUCUUCGAGCCGCAUGGCUUGAAGAGGAAAAGAGGUGCAAGCUUCUGCUGAUGGAUGGACCCGCGGUGCAUUAGCUAGUUGGUGAGGUAACGGCUCACCAAGGCCGUGAUGCAUAGCCGACCUGAGAGGGUGAUCGGACACAUUGGGACUGAGACACGGCCCAAACUCCGACGGGAGGCAGCAGUAGGGAAUCUUCCGCAAUGGACGAAAGUCUGACGGAGCAACGCCGCGUGAGUGAAGAAGGUUUUCGGAUCGUAAAACUCUGUUGUUAGAGAAGAACAAGUGCUAGAGUAACUGUUAGCGCCUUGACGGUAUCUAACCAGAAAGCCACGGCUAACUACGUG
rnacentral:rRNA from 1 species